UACGAAGGUCCCGAGCGUUGUUCGGAAUCACUGGGCGUAAAGGGCGCGUAGGCGGCGCGGUAAGUCAGAUGUGAAAUCCCGGGGCUCAACCCCGGAACUGCAUCCGAUACUGCCGUGCUAGAGGAUUGGAGAGGUAGCUGGAAUUCUUGGUGUAGCAGUGAAAUGCGUAGAGAUCAAGAGGAACACUCGUGGCGAAAGCGAGCUACUGGACAAUUCCUGACGCUGAGGCUCGAAGGCUAGGGUAGCGAAAGGG
rnacentral:rRNA from 1 species